UGUUAUGAAUGGCAGGAGAGAAACAAGAACGCCAGACUCUUUGUUGUUUAUAAGUGCCAUUUUUUUGCAUAAUGUCAACUGCUGUUAACAAAUAUGACGUCCUAAAAUCCAAUGAUGACUCUGGGGAAGAAGAUAGUGGAAGCCGAGAUAUGAAAGACAAACCACUGCCACAAGUGGAGGUAAAACCAGGCGAGCACCCUCUUCAGUACACAUAUUCUCUUUGGUUCAGCAGAAGGGCACCAGGCAAACAGGCAACAACACAAAACUACGACCAAAAUCUUCAAUUAUUAGCCAGGUUUGCCUCAGUGGAACAAUUCUGGGGAUAUUACAGCCGCUGUUUGCGGCCAGUCGAUCUUCCUUCACACUCCGAUAUACAUAUUUUUAAAGAUGGAAUCAAACCCAUGUGGGAGGAUUCGGCUAAUAAAAAUGGUGGGAAAUGGAUUGUACGUUUAAGGAAAGGACUUGCUUCGCGUUGCUGGGAAAAUAUGAUCUUGGCAAUGCUUGGUGAGCAGUUUAUGGUUGGUGAUGAAAUCUGUGGAGCUGUUAUAUCUGUACGCUUUCAGGAGGACAUAAUAUCUGUCUGGAACCGCACAGCGCAAGACUCUAUCACCACAGGAAAGAUCCGGGACACCCUAAAGCGUGUUCUUAACCUACCUCCUACUACUGUUAUGGAAUACAAGACCCAUAACGACUCUCUCAAGCACACCCACUCCGCGUCAAGCCUACUACGCAAACCCGGCCUACCCAUGAGGCAUGACCUCCUUCACUGACGUCUCUCUUCUUUUGCUCCCCUCUCCCCUCCUCUUCCUGGCAGGGGGGGGGAGGGUGGGGAGAGAGAGAGAGAGAGAGCCUGAGACAUCACCCAUUCUCUGUGCAUCUACAGGUGGACCAUUCAAGCUUUCGAAACACAAGGGCGGAUAGCUUCAGCGCCCGUGCAGAGGGAUUCCUGAGAUAAUGGAAUAUGGCACUGGAAGCCUCUGCUUACCUGAUGACACAGUCCGUGAAACUUUUUUUUUUUUUUUUUUUAAUUGUCUUUCCCAUGGAAAUCUAUAUAUUUUUUUUGCCUUUCAAGAUUUACUGAGAUUUUCCUUUUGCUUUAAAAUCUUGAAUUUGUAGAAUUUGAUGAUGUUAUUAAGAAAAUAAAUUUUUGUGUUUGUUCCAUCCUUGAAACAACUUUUUUCAACAUCUUUUGAUGGUUUCGCCUUCAUACUGUACAAGUACAACUUUUGAGCCUUUGGUUCUGCUGUUAUUGCCUUUUUUUUUAAUAAAUGGUUUUUAUGUUGAAAUAAAAACUAACCUUUUGGUUGUCAUUCCAAGAA